rnacentral:tRNA from 1 species
CUGGGAGGAUGGAUAGGCCUAAACCAAACACAAAUCCGAAAAAUCCUAGCCUUCUCAUCCAUCUCCCACCUA